rnacentral:lncRNA from 1 species
UGGUGGUAAACGUUUACGCGAGUGUUUUCUUGAAUUUGUACAGAAAGUUCUUCUGAAGGAACAACUUUUUUGUACACAGGGGACCACGAUGUAAAAUUUUCACUUUUUGGCAGACUUUGGAUUGGUUUUUGAUGUUUUUGAUUUUAAGUUGUGUGUUGUGAGUGGAGACUUGACUUUGGGGACCCCAAAUUCCAUUGAGGAAGGUCUUGUGUUCACUAAAAGUAGUUGGAUGAAAUCCUGAGUCAAGUGCAUUGAAAAAGGGUGUUGUAAUCGUUUACCAAUUGGUGGUAAACGUUUACGCGAAUGUUUUCUUGAAUUUGUACAGAAAGUGCUUCUGAAGGAACCAUUUUUUUGUACAUAGGGGACCAGGAUGUAAAAUUUUCACUUUUUGGCAGACUUUGGAUUGGUUUUUGAUGUUUUUGAUUUUAAGUUGUGUGUUGGGGGUGGAGACUUGACUUUGGGGANAACACAUCUUUCGUUUAUUAAUCUUUUGAAGAUGUAUCAGAUGCCAUUUGUGAAAAGUUUUAAAAACACUAUUCAUCCCUCCUUUUAGUAUUUUCCUGUGGUUUUCAUUGUGUACAAAGAAUUCAACGCUUAAGUUUAUUUU